GCGAGGGUGGCGAAAUUGGUAGACGCGCACGGUUCAGGUCCGUGUGUCGCAAGACGUGGGGGUUCGAGUCCCUUCCCUCGCA
rnacentral:tRNA from 1 species